rnacentral:rRNA from 1 species
UUCCAGCUCCAAUAGCGUAUACUAAAGCUGCUGCGGUUAAAAAGCUCGUAGUUGGAUCUCAGUUCCAGACGAGUAGUGCAUCUACCCGAUGCGACGGCUCGGACUGAACAUCAUGCCGGUUUUCUUGGUGCACUUCAUUGUGUGCCUCGAGAUGGCCGGUGCUUUUACUUUGAAAAAAUUAGAGUGCUCAACGCAGGCGAGUCGCCUGAAUAAACUUGCAUGGAAUAAUAGAACAAGACCUCGUUUCUGUUCUGUUGGUUUUUGG